CCUACGGGCGGCAGCAGUCGAGAAUCAUUCACAAUGGGGGAAACCCUGAUGGUGCGACGCCGCGUGGGGGAAUGAAGGUCUUCGGAUUGUAAACCCCUGUCAUGUGGGAGCAAAUUAAAAAGAUAGUACCACAAGAGGAAGAGAUGGCUAACUCUGUGCCAGCAGCCGCGGUAAUACAGAGGUCUCAAGCGUUGUUCGGAAUCACUGGGCGUAAAGCGUGCGUAGGCUGUUUCGUAAGUCGGGUGUGAAAGGCGCGGGCUCAACCCGCGGACGGCACAGGAUACUGCGAGACUAGAGUAAUGGAGGGGGAGCCGGAAUUCUGGGGGUAGGAGGGAAAGGCGUAGA
rnacentral:rRNA from 1 species